rnacentral:tRNA from 1 species
GGAUUGUGGCUCAGUGGCAGAGCACUUGCCUAGCAUGCGUGAGGCACUGGGUUUGAUUCUCAGCACCA